rnacentral:rRNA from 1 species
UACGUAGGGUGCAAGCGUUGUCCGGAAUUAUUGGGCGUAAAGAGCUUGUAGGCGGUUUGUCGCGUCUGCUGUGAAAUUUCGGGGCUCAACCCCGAACUUGCAGUGGGUACGGGCAGACUAGAGUGUGGUAGGGGAGACUGGAAUUCCUGGUGUAGCGGUGAAAUGCGCAGAUAUCAGGAGGAACACCUAUGGCGAAGGCAGCUCGCUGGGACGGUACUGACGCUGAGGCGCGAAAGCGUGGGGAGCGAACAGG